rnacentral:rRNA from 1 species
UACAGAGGUCUCAAGCGUUGUUCGGAUUCAUUGGGCGUAAAGGGUGUGUAGGCGGCGCGGUAAGUCGGGUGUGAAAUCUUGGAGCUUAACUCCGAAACUGCAUUCGAUACUGCCGUGCUUGAGGACUGGAGAGGAGACUGGAAUUUACGGUGUAGCGGUGAAAUGCGUAGAUAUCGUAAGGAAGACCAGUGGCGAAGGCGGGUCUCGUGGACAGUUCCUGACGCUGAGGCACGAAGGCCAGGGGAGCAAACGGG